CAGAACCUUUAGCUGAACAUCAUAACACUAAAUAUUUGUACAACUUACCUUUGCAAAUUGCUUUCACAUUUGAGCUUCAAACAGGUCAUAUCAUCUUCCUUUUACAGGUGAAGAAACGGAAGUGAAGGGGAAGACACUUGUCCAAGGUCAUUAGACUCCAACACAGGUGUUCUGCUUCAAUGAAGAGCUCCUUAUACCAGGGCUCACAACGACAGAAGUCAGUUAUAACACAUAUGCAAUAUCUACAAACAUUUAAGGUGAACAAGGAGGCUGCAGCAGGGGCAGAGAAUUGCCCAGUGAGUUAAGUAACCCAUGUUCCUACAUCUACAAGAGGGUAUACCUCUUUGCAGAAGGAAAAACUCGGAAUGUUUCAGCAAGCAAUAAGGAGGAAGCUCAAGGGAUCACUCAAGUACACUGGCAGCAAUUACAAAGGGAUUUCCAAGCAACCGCUCUCCCUCAGCUCCGGAGUCAUCUAAGUGGAGAAACAGCCCUUUGGUCACGGCUCUGAUUUGAAAAAAGUAGAGUUUAGGCCAGGCUUCAAGUGUAUGGUUAAUUCUCAUUAAUGAGGCAAGGUCUGCCACCUGGUGGUAAAAAAUAAAAUGCCACUUGCUUUUCUCA
rnacentral:lncRNA from 1 species